CGUUUUCUCCAGAACCUGGUUUGCUUUGUACAACAGUCGGAUUCUGAAAGCACACUGAACAGUAGACCAUAGAGAGUCGUUGAUUAUGCUCUACCUCAAAUCAGAAUUAACCUUUUUCAUCUUUUUCGUUCAAAAGUAUUCUAACUGCGGUCACAUGAUUUUGUUAUGACUUGAGCCGUUGAGCGCCAGCCAAUCUGUAGGACAACACCUGUAUGUCAUUUUGAAAAUAUCAUAUGACCAUUUGUUUGUACUACAUGUGAUGCUCCCUUUCCUUGGUAUACUUUCGGCUAUCCUCGGCGGUCACAGCUCCAUAUCAUUUCUCGGCGAUUAUCACGGAAAGCUUAGUAUUAAAGUCAUGUGGAGUGGAGCCAUCAUCUGUUGAU
rnacentral:lncRNA from 1 species